CUGUCACAGCCCUGGCAGCAGCACUUGGGAAAUUCUGGGGCUGAGGGAGCCCCAGAGCCGCGCCACUCAUGGGGGACCCAAGUCCUUCUGAUAGAGGCCCAGCCUGUGAAUCGUGUGAGCCAGCAGUGCCCUCAGCAUGCCAGCCUGGGUCUUCCCGAAGUCGGGUUGCUUGGGAAUGCAGCCUAAAGCGGGUGGUAAACUCCAUCUAAGGUUAAAUAUCGGCAGGAGACCCAUAGCCAACAAGUACCAUAAAGGGAAAGCUGAAAAGAAUUCUGAAGAAAGAGGAAAACAAACAGAAAUCCUAGAGGAGAAAGACUGACAGAGGGAACAGAGGAAAGAGAGAGGGAGAAAGAGUCAGAGAGAGAGAGAAAGGAAGAGACAGAAGUAGUAAAGAGAGCAAUGUGCCCUAUUCUUUUAAAGCCAGGGUAAAUGGAAAACUUAAAAUUGAUCAUUGAAGGACUUCUCCGUGAUGGGCUUCUUAAACGCUGCUGUUCCCAAUCCUAGACUAUUAGAAUCACCAGUACUUUACAAUAGUAGGUUUAAAAGAUGCCUUCUGGGCUUGUCCAUUGGCAAAAGAAAGCCAGGACCUAUUUGCCUUUAAGUGAGAAAACCUCAUGCCAGUCUAAAAUAGCAAUGCCAGUGGAGACCCCAAGGGUUUGUGGAGUUUCCCUCCAUGGAUACACUCUUAUGCUCUAAAACUAAAGCCCUUAUACAAAAAGCUCAUUAAAGACAGGCUAAAUCCCCUCAUUUGGCAAUUACCAGAAAUCCAGCAUGUGGGAAUGUUACUUCCUUAAGCAGCCAUUCAACCUUUUUGUCAGUGUGAACAAAGGUGUAGCCUUAGAAAUACUUGCCCAAAGGCAUGGAGGCCAGUGACAACCAGUAGCCUCCCUAUCAAAAAUCCUGAACCCAGUAACUCACGGAUGGCACAAACGCAUUACUGGACAACACUUAUGUAGAAAGUUUGCUAAAAGUUAACAGUGUAACAUGUAUUAUCUUAACUUCUAAUAUGUGGCCUUUAGGCAGUCUAGUCUACAGACAUAAAGUUUGCUUUGGAAAAGAAUUGUAAUCUUUUUUAAAAAAAAAUUUAAAAAAAAGGAGAAUUCAU